rnacentral:misc_RNA from 1 species
AAAGAUAUAGCAUAUUCUUCUGAAUAUACUUUAUUAACCCAUUCCGAGUACCUUACCCGUUGCUUCCGCGAGGCUGUCCUCACGGCCCUCUGAAGAUUUAUCUUUGGGGAGUCCUUGCGGAAGGUAUACAAUAAACUCUUGCAUUACCAUGUCACCUGUCUGAAUCUGUUUAAAACAAAUAUUAAAGCUUUCAACAACGGAUCUCUUGGUUCUCGCAUCGAUGAAGAACGCAGCGAAAUGCGAUAAGUAGUGUGAAUUGCAGAAACUAGUGAAUCAUUGAAUCUUUGAACGCACAUUGCGCCUCCUGGUAUUCCGGGAGGCAUGCCUGUUCGAGCGUCAUUAAAAACCACUCAAGCUCUUUUGCUUGGUCAUGGAAGAAGAGUUUGCUUGCAAUCUCCCUUCCGAAAUUCAAAGGCGGAAAGUCUCAGAGCCCCGGCGUAGUAAUAAUAUUUCGCUUGGAACUUGUGAUGAUCCUGCCCUUAACCCCCAAUUUUAUCUAGGUUGACCUCGGAUCAGGUAGGGAUACCCGCUGAACUUAAGCAUAUCAAUAAGCGGAGGAAUCGCGUACUUGGUCAUUUAGAGGAAGUAAAAGUCGUAACAAGGUUUCCGUAGGUGAACCUGCGGAAGGAUCAUUAUUGAUUGGUCGAAAGACCUUAUCAGAUUCUACCACCUCUGUGAACCGUUGACCUCCGGGUUAAUAAUCAAACAUCAGUGUAACGAACGUAAGAGUAUCUUAAUUAAACA